rnacentral:rRNA from 1 species
GACGAACGCUGGCGGCGUGCUUAACACAUGCAAGUCGAACGGAAAGGCCCUGCUUUUGUGGGGUGCUCGAGUGGCGAACGGGUGAGUAACACGUGAGUAACCUGCCCUUGACUUUGGGAUAACUUCAGGAAACUGGGGCUAAUACCGGAUAGGAGCUCCUGCUGCAUGGUGGGGGUUGGAAAGUUUCGGCGGUUGGGGAUGGACUCGCGGCUUAUCAGCUUGUUGGUGGGGUAGUGGCUUACCAAGGCUUUGACGGGUAGCCGGCCUGAGAGGGUGACCGGCCAAAUUGGGACUGAGCUACGGACCAGACUCCUACGGGAGGCAGCAGUGGGGAAUAUUGCACAAUGGGCGGAAGCCUGAUGCAGCAACGCCGCGUGCGGGAUGACGGCCUUCGGGUUGUAAACCGCUUUCGCCUGUGACGAAGCGUGAGUGACGGUAAUGGGUAAAGAAGCACCGGCUAACUACGUG